AUUGAACGCUGGCGGCAGGCCUAACACAUGCGAGUCGAGCGGAUGAAGGGAGCUUGCUCCUGGAUUCAGCGGCGGACGGGUGAGUAAUGCCUAGGAAUCUGCCUGGUAGUGGGGGAUAACGUCCGGAAACGGGCGCUAAUACCGCAUACGUCCUGAGGGAGAAAGUGGGGGAUCUUCGGACCUCACGCUAUCAGAUGAGCCUAGGUCGGAUUAGCUAGUUGGUGGGGUAAAGGCCUACCAAGGCGACGAUCCGUAACUGGUCUGAGAGGGUGAUCAGUCACACUGGAACUGAGACACGGUCCAGACUCCUACGGGAGGCAGCAGUGGGGAAUAUUGGACAAUGGGCGAAAGCCUGAUCCAGCCAUGCCGCGUGUGUGAAGAAGGUCUUCGGAUUGUAAAGCACUUUAAGUUGGGAGGAAGGGCAGUAAGUUAAUACCUUGCUGUUUUGACGUUACCAACAGAAUAAGCACCGGCUAACUUCGUG
rnacentral:rRNA from 1 species